UACGUAGGGUGCAAGCGUUGUCCGGAAUUAUUGGGCGUAAAGAGCUCGUAGGCGGCUUGUCGCGUCGGCUGUGAAAACCUGGGGCUCAACCCCGGGCCUGCAGCCGAUACGGGCAAGCUAGAAUUCGGUAGGGGAGGACUGGAAUUCCUGGUGUAGCGGUGAAAUGCGCAGAUAUCAGGAGGAACACCUAUGGCGAAGGCAGCUCGCUGGGACGUGACUGACGCUGAGACGCGAAAAGCGUGGGGGAGCAAAACAGG
rnacentral:rRNA from 1 species